rnacentral:rRNA from 1 species
UACGUAGGGUGCGAGCGUUGUCCGGAAUUAUUGGGCGUAAAGAGCUCGUAGGCGGUGUGUCACGUCGUUCGUGAAAACCUGCAGCUUAACUGUGGGCGUGCGGUCGAUACGGGCAUCACUGGAGUUCGGCAGGGGAGACUGGAAUUCCUGGUGUAGCGGUGAAAUGCGCAGAUAUCAGGAGGAACACCGGUGGCGAAGGCGGGUCUCUGGGCCGAGACUGACGCUGAGGCGCGAAAGCGUGGGGAGCGAACAGG